UUGCGCCUACGGGACGCAGCAGUGGGGAAUAUUGCACAAUGGGGGAAACCCUGAUGCAGCGACGCCGCGUGAGCGAUGAAGUAUUUCGGUAUGUAAAGCUCUAUCAGCAGGGAAGAAAAUGGCGGUACCUGACUAAGAAGCCCCGGCUAACUACGUGCCAGCAGCCGCGGUAAUACGUAGGGGGCAAGCGUUAUCCGGAUUUACUGGGUGUAAAGGGAGCGUAGACGGCAGUGCAAGCCUGAAGUGAAAGCCCGGGGCCCAACCCCGGGACUGCUUUGGGAACUGCCAGGCUAGAGGGCUGGAGG
rnacentral:rRNA from 1 species